GUGAUCGUACGAAUGGCGAUCUUAACGUGAGAAUUCUAGCAGAUAUAUUUUGAUGAAUGCUGUUUAGAAACAGUGUACUAUCAUGUUGAUGGCUUAGCCUUAGACCCUUCCCAGUGCAGUUGAAAAAUUAGAUAGUUACAGACAGAUGGAUACCACCAAAAUCAUUUGCAUUCAGAUCACCAGAAAAAACACAGCAAAAGUUGGACACUUAUGACAUUGUGAAGAUAAACCGUCAAACACCAGAUCAAAAUACAGUUAUCCCGUUGUUUUAACUAGAGUAGUCCUGAACUGUUUUAAAGGGAGAAUGAUGUUUAUUAUGAUUUUCCAGAAUAUUACUAUGCAUAAGUAUG